CUCCGUUAUGGUCAUUAUGUAUAGUUCAACCAUCAGACGUAGGGUGAGCUCUAUCUUGCUCAUCCUAUGUCUUCCUGCACUCCGACUUGCAUUCAACAGUCACUUGCGCGAAUCCUUUAGGGCCUGGCAGCGGUGAGCCCUACUGUGUGUCUGAGUGACAGAACCAUCAGGAAGGAAAAGGUAACUCAGAAUUGCCCCACAAUUCAUCUGUUUCUUGCCUUUAAAGGCUAUAUAUUCAGGGGAGGGUAUUGAAAAUAUGUGACAGUAUAGUCUGAAGGCUGU
rnacentral:lncRNA from 1 species